rnacentral:rRNA from 1 species
AGAGGUGGCAAGCGUUGUUCGGAAUUACUGGGCGUAAAGGGCGCGUAGGCGGUCUUCUAAGUUCCGUGUGAAAUCCCUCGGCUCAACUGGGGAAUGGCACGGAAAACUGGAAGGCUUGAGUUCGGGAGAGGGAAGCGGAAUUCCGGGUGUAGCGGUGAAAUGCGUAGAUAUCCGGAGGAACACCGGUGGCGAAGGCGGCUUCCUGGACCGACACUGACGCUGAGGCGCGAAAGCUAGGGGAGCAAACGGGAUUAGAUACCCCGGUAGUCCUAGCUGUAAACGAUGAGUGCUGGGUGUAGGGGGUAUUCACCCCCCCUGUGCCGAAGCUAACGCAUUAAGCACUCCGCCUGGGGAGUACGGUCGCAAGGCUGAA